ACCAGAUGCAGGGAUCCCAGGGACAGGCUGAGUGGAGGAGGCCAGACCAGAACAUAGAAGACAAGUGAGUGGGGCUGGGCUGUGGGGGAGGGGUGGGGUGGCAGGGAACAGGCAGACCAUCCCUUCUACCCACAGGAUCCUGCUGCUGCAGACAGAAGUGGAAAAGGCCUAGCGGCAUUUGGACCAAAUGACCCAACAGCCUGUUGGCCCAGAGCCCAGCCUGGGGAUCCCCCAAGUGGGUGCAUGGCAGGCCCUGCGCACUGGCCCUGCUGUACCUUUGACUCUGCCCCACACUUUAUUCUCUGGUCCUCAUUAUUGAAGCAUUAUCUAGAGAAGGAAGGCAGCGCAGGGGCUUAGUCCAGCCAAGAGAGGGAUCCUCUUCCAACAUUUGGGAAUACCCUGGGAUCAUUCAGUGACUUCCCUCCUGGUUCAGAUGGGAAAACUGAGACCAGAGAGCAGAGGAGAGCUUGUUCAGAGUCAUAACUUGAGUUGGGGCCAGGACCCUGCCACAACAUGCCCUGAGGCAUCAACGGUCUGCCAAGACCACCCCAGUGUGGUCUGGAAGCUGGAAGGAGACCCCAGGAUUCUGGACCAAGUGUAUCUACAGGAGAUGCUGGUGCCAGGCCUGCAGAUCCAAGAGCAGAGCUGGGAUGGAGGCAGGGCCCAGGAGCUUCGGGACCCAGAGUCUCCAUGCCAGCAGCUGAGACCCCUGCCCAGGCUCAGGACACAGUCCGUCUGCAGGAGCAGUUGCUGAUACUCACUGAGGUGAACAAGAGACUCAGAAGAGCUGGGCCAGAGCCACCAGCAACUAGGGGCCUGCUUGGAGCAGCUGCAGCAUCUGCAGGGAGAGCAGAUGGUGUUGGGGGGCCAUUGCAGGCCCUGGAGGCAGAGCACACCUGGCUACUUCAGGAGAAGGUGGGGCUGCUAGCAGCACUGGGUGUGGCCCCGGGCCAAGAGUCCUGUACACUCCAGGUCCUGGAGGUACCAGUGCCCCUCAGGAAAGAGCUAGAGGCACAAGAAUCACAUCCCAGGCUUCAUGAGGAGAUGGCUGAAUAUUGGAAGGCACGCUGGCACCGGCUGGCAGUUGCCCUGAAAUUUAAAGAGGAGGAACUGCAGAGACUCCAGAGGCAGAGUGGGACCUGGCCUCCCCAGCAUGCAUUUAUUGAGCAUCUGCUACAUGCCUGGCCCUCUUCUGUGUGCAGAAGCAAUGUCAAAUCAGAUCACUCCUUGUCCUCAACAGCUUAUGGUUUGGGGGCACCCGGUAAUUGACGUCAGCUGGUGGAUCCAGGGCUGGGUACUGAGCCGUACUGGACCAGUGGGCCCCCUCCCGGGAUCGCUGGACUUGGAGCAGAAGAGUCCCUCCAGGGCUGAAGAUUGGACACAGAAAACUUGGGAACUGUCAACUGCCCUGUUAUUCACCUCGUGAAAAAAGCUGGAUUUCUAAUGAGAGCGAAUGGAGGUGACAAUUCCCAGAAACUGGAAUUGGGAUGGUGAGAUUUUAGUUCAGCCGCCGGCGGUCUCAUGCGUGGAGGUGAUAAAGUUGAGCUUUGAGGUGGUCUUCAGAGGGAGAGGAAUACCCUCUGCGGGCAGAGCUUCCUGGGUUCCGGGCCCUUCCGGACGUCAACACAGGUCCAAAUGCCCUUGGGCUCCUCCGCACACCCUGGGUGCAAGAAUAAAUCCUUCUCUCUGCCGCCAUUA
rnacentral:lncRNA from 1 species